rnacentral:rRNA from 1 species
UGCAGUCGAGCGGGGUGAUGGUGCUUGCACUAUCACUUAGCGGCGGACGGGUGAGUAAUGCUUAGGAAUCUGCCUAUUAGUGGGGGACAACAUUUCGAAAGGAAUGCUAAUACCGCAUACGUCCUACGGGAGAAAGCAGGGGAUCUUCGGACCUUGCGCUAAUAGAUGAGCCUAAGUCGGAUUAGCUAGUUGGUGGGGUAAAGGCCUACCAAGGCGACGAUCUGUAGCGGGUCUGAGAGGAUGAUCCGCCACACUGGGACUGAGACACGGCCCAGACUCCUACGGGAGGCAGCAGUGGGGAAUAUUGGACAAUGGGCGGAAGCCUGAUCCAGCCAUGCCGCGUGUGUGAAGAAGGCCUUAUGGUUGUAAAGCACUUUAAGCGAGGAGGAGGCUACUUUAGUUAAUACCUAGAGAUAGUGGACGUUACUCGCAGAAUAAGCACCGGCUAACUCUGUGCCAGCAGCCGCGGUAAUACAGAGGGUGCAAGCGUUAAUCGGAUUUACUGGGCGUAAAGCGCGCGUAGGCGGCUAAUUAAGUCAAAUGUGAAAUCCCCGAGCUUAACUUGGGAAUUGCAUUCGAUACUGGUUAGCUAGAGUGUGGGAGAGGAUGGUAGAAUUCCAGGUGUAGCGGUGAAAUGCGUAGAGAUCUGGAGGAAUACCGAUGGCGAAGGCAGCCAUCUGGCCUAACACUGACGCUGAGGUGCGAAAGCAUGGGGAGCAAACAGGAUUAGAUACCCUGGUAGUCCAUGCCGUAAACGAUGUCUACUAGCCGUUGGGGCCUUUGAGGCUUUAGUGGCGCAGCUAACGCGAUAAGUAGACCGCCUGGGGAGUACGGUCGCAAGACUAAAACUCAAAUGAAUUGACGGGGGCCCGCACAAGCGGUGGAGCAUGUGGUUUAAUUCGAUGCAACGCGAAGAACCUUACCUGGCCUUGACAUAGUAAGAACUUUCCAAAAAUGGAUUGGUGCCUUCGGGAACUUACAUACAGGUGCUGCAUGGCUGUCGUCACCUCGUGUCGUGAGAUGUUGGGUUAAGUCCCGCAACGAGCGCAACCCUUUUCCUUAUUUGCCAGCGAGUAAUGUCGGGAACUUUAAGGAUACUGCC